CCUGAGCUCUUGUACCUGUUAAUUCUGGAAUUGUUGGGUCCCCUGUACCUUUCCUGUCUGUGGAUUUUGCUUGCUCACUGUUGGACUUGUUUUUCUGUUUUGGACUGCUUACCUGCUGAGAGUUGCUUUUGCUUGCCUAUUCAGUGGCAAGGAGGAUCUUAACAUGAUGUCUGGGCUUUAGCCCAAGCUAACGGUCCAGCACAAGCCCCAGAAUAGCUGUCCAGAUUCUCUCAGCUGCCCACGCGGAGGGCCCGUCACAGCUGGCUGGAGCAUGCACAAACUGAAUAGACCAGCAAAGACAAUGUGGAAGCCCAUUCAUCCAAAAAUGAUAAUAUGUGCAGGUGCUUUUGGUGAGUUGCUGUGCCAUGCGCAACGUGUGUUGUUUCCUGCGGCUGUAUGGAGACCGUGCUGCACUGCAAGCUGCAGGGAGGAUUCCUGAGAGCUGGACACCAUGUGGGAAAGAUAUGGCCAUUACUGCCAGCAUUCCCUCCAGUGCUGGAACAGACCACAUCCGUGUGGGGCUAUGGGUCCUUGUUAACAUUAUUGGCAGGUGGUGCGUAAAGCCGGCUGUCCUUGUCAGGGCCCUAAAGGCAACUUCUCAAACUAAACUGAAAGCCUAACUGAGACCCUGUCAACUUCCUUUCAACCAUAAGCAGGAGUGCCACGAUGAAUCAGGGGAGGAGAUAUUUCUAGCUCAGCUGAUAAAAAGACAAAAUAUAAAAUACUAUUUAUCUAGAAGAAGUUAAACUACAUUUUCUGAAGUAUGUCAAAACUCUGAUCUAUAGAAAUUGAGAUGGUUUUGAAAUAUUUGUGCAGUUUAUAGUGUGUCAGAAAGUACAGUGACUAGUAAUUUGUCGAUGGCUACCCUAAGCUGUAACACGAGCAGGUGAUAUAAAAACUUUCUAUGAAAUAGAUUUGAACACAUUGCACAUAUGGAAAUGGACAGUUUCCAUAUGUGAACUGUGUGUGCAGGACAGUGUAUUAUCAGUGUAGUAUCACUCAACUGACACAACAACAGAUGGUGCAUUGUGUGUUUUUGUUUUUUAUUUUUUGCUACUGUCAUAACACUACAUACUUAACAUAAUGCAAAAUACGUAUACUACAGCAGCAAAGCUGUUUAAAUUAUGGCUUUAAAAUCUCACAAUUGCAUUCUUCAUAAAUGAUGGUUGUGGUAAAAAGGCUGUAAUUUCAGUUAGUAGCUGCUGCUACAACCAUUUAUACCAACAGGGUUAGAACUGAAAUCAUCUAGUUUAUGUUGAGUUCUCACACUGUUUAUUCUCCCAAGUAUCUUCUCUUUGUUAUAUUUGUUAGAUUUUGAGUAAGAACUGUUCACUCUCCUUAAAAAUUGUGUAAUUUUGGAAGAAACAUGAUGGAGGGAUUCUAAAGGUGAGGGAUCAUCCGGACUGAAUUGUCUUUAGGGAGCAUAGGAGCUGAAACUACUGAAGAAAAUAGUGUUUAAAAACCGGAUCCUGUAGAAGGGCUAAAGGGACAUAGGUCUGUCUGACUGUCUGUCCAUUUCUCCCUCUUGCACACACACUCACACAUAAGGCUCUUUCUCAAUCAGCCCUCACCUACACAAGGUUAAACUGUGCAAACAUUUGCUGCUUCUAAUUUAUGGGCCGUUCAAACACGUGCUGAUGUUCUUGCCACAUCAGACAUCACAGGGAUGGGCUGUGACGGUGGUAAGUGUUGACAAGGUUUUGGCGACAGGUGUGUGUGUGUGCGUGCAUGCACUGCAAAAAUUCAUCUUUUUCGAGCAAGAGUCUUUAGUGCUUAUUUUUCCAACUAAUUGAAAGAGAAAAUAUUUUUUGUUGA